CACGGAAAUAGCUGUGCCCGGCGAGCCACCGCUCCGCGGGCGGCCCCCCGCGGCCCCCCGGGUUAUUUUUGAGCGGCCCCAGCAAGAUAAAACUUGAAUCCGGGGAAGAGUGGCUGAUUUACGGCCCGCUUUAAGGGCAGUGUGCUCGGCUGCGGAUGAGUGAAAAGACUCUUCUGCAUGGGCAGGAUCAGCUCCCGUGACACCGCUGCCGGCGGUGGAGGAGAGGGGACCAGGGAUCUGGCAUCCCACCGCUGUCCCGGCCGCAGAGCAGCCCGGGCCGUCCCCUGAGUUGGCAGCACGUUUUGCCCCACAGCCCACACUCCACCCCACAGCAGCUGGCCCUGCGUGGCACACAUGGCUCGCCAGCCCUCUUACAAAAGGAGAGGCAGAAAUAUUAAGAUUGGUCUGAAGAAUGGAUGGACAGAAAUGUCUUUCAGUAAAAGCAACAGGAAGAGCAAUACAGCAACGUUAGGAAAAAAACUGAAACAUUUUGAUAACCAUGGACACACUGAUAACAAUCAAACAGGGAAGAUGACUGUAGCCAUAAAGACACCCACAGCAGGCAAACCCAGGAAACAGCCUGCAAUCUAAUAUCCACCUAGGCUGAGUAGUAAGAUGCAAAGAUGACUACCAAUGGCAACUGGCAGUGGCAAGCAAUGCUUGAGGAACAUUUCAGAACCUUUUACACCCUACCAGAAGAGCAGAACUCUGCCCAGAAGUAUAAAGAUUAAAAUGAACUGGGAACUAAUGUAAAACAGUAAUUCAGGUAACUUGGUUUUGGUUUUGCUCUAGAUUACUAAAAGUCCUGUAAUAAAUCACAAGACAGACGUAAACUUCUGGUUUUAAUUGUCAUGUACAUACCAGUUCCUCCCAAACUCUGUUUCUCUUGCUCCCACUCAAACAACAGCAAGUU